CCUACGGGAGGCAGCAGUGGGGAAUAUUGGGCAAUGGGCGCAAGCCUGACCCAGCAACGCCGCGUGAAGGAAGAAGGCUUUCGGGUUGUAAACUUCUUUUCUCAGGGACGAAGCAAGUGACGGUACCUGAGGAAUAAGCCACGGCUAACUACGUGCCAGCAGCCGCUGUAAUCCGUAGGUGGCAAGCGUUAUCCGGAUUUACUGGGUGUAAAGGUCGUGUAGGCGGGGACGCAAGUCAGAUGUGAAAACCACGGGGUCAACCUGUGGCCUGCAUUUGAAACUGUGUUUCUUGAGUACUGGAGAGGCAGACGGAAUUCCUAGUGUAGCGGUGAAAUGCGUAGAUAUUAGGAGGAACACCAGUGGCGAAGGCGGUAUGCUGGAAAGCAACUGACGCUGAGGCGCGAAAGCGUGGGGAGCAAACAGGAUUAGAUACCCUAGUAGUC
rnacentral:rRNA from 1 species